GCCGGGUGUGGUGGCAGACACCUGUAAUCCCAGCUACUUGAGAGGCUGAGGCAGGAGAAUCGCUUGAACCCAGGAGGUGGAGGUUGCAGUGAGCCAAGAUUGCACCAUUGCACCCCAGCUUGGGCAACAGAACAAGACUCCGUCUCAAAAAAACAAACAAAAAGACCGAGUCUUGCUCUUGUCGCCCAGGCUGGAAUGCAAUGGUGAGAUUUGGGCUCACUGCAACCUCUGCCUCCUGGGUUCAAGCGAUUCUCCUGCCUCAG
rnacentral:SRP_RNA from 1 species